rnacentral:rRNA from 1 species
AUUGAACGCUGGCGGCAUGCCUUACACAUGCAAGUCGAACGGCAGCACGGGAGCAAUCCUGGUGGCGAGUGGCGAACGGGUGAGUAAUGUAUCGGAACGUGCCCGGUCGUGGGGGAUAACGUAGCGAAAGCUACGCUAAUACCGCAUACGAUCUACGGAUGAAAGCGGGGGAUCGCAAGACCUCGCGCGAUUGGAGCGGCCGAUAUCAGAUUAGGUAGUUGGUGAGGUAAAGGCUCACCAAGCCGACGAUCUGUAGCUGGUCUGAGAGGACGACCAGCCACACUGGGACUGAGACACGGCCCAGACUCCUACGGGAGGCAGCAGUGGGGAAUUUUGGACAAUGGGCGCAAGCCUGAUCCAGCAAUGCCGCGUGCAGGAUGAAGGCCUCGGUUGUAAC